AAGACUAUACUUCCAGGGAGUGUGUCUAUAGUUCAUUACUAGAGAACUUUCUCUGAUCACGUAGAGCAUCUGAAACCGUGAGGAGGAGCCAGAGCAUCUUCUCCUGAGCCUGAAGCUGGUGCUAGGCGCUGCUUUUGCAACUGCCUCUCACCAUUGAUGACCAUCCCUUGGAAAAGUGAGAGAAAGAAGAUACAAUCUGCGGGGU